rnacentral:rRNA from 1 species
ACAAGCAGCGGAGCGUGUGGUUUAAUUCGAUGCAACGCGAAGAACCUUACCAGGGUUUGACAUGCUUAAAGUAGAAACUCGAAAGAGGGACGACCUGUAUCCAGUCAGGAGUUUGCACAGGUGCUGCAUGGCUGUCGUCAGCUCGUGCCGUGAGGUGUUGGGUUAAGUCCCGCAACGAGCGCAACCCUCGUGCUAUGUUGAUUUCUCAUAGCAGACUGCCUUGUACAGCAAGGAGGAAGGUGGGAUGACGUCAAGUCAGCAUGGCCUUUAUGCCCUGGGCUACACACACGCUACAAUGGGUGGGUACAGAGGGUUGCCACGGAGCAAUCCGGAGCGAACCCCUUAAAACCAUCCUCAGUUCGGAUUGUAGGCUGCAAUCGCCUGCAUGAAGCCGGAGCUGCUAGUAACCGCAGGUCAGCUAUACUGCGGUGAAUACGUUCUCGGGCCUU